CCUCACUGAGUCCAGGAGAAUGCAGUGGGCUAGAACAAGUAAGGCACUUGCAACGGAUUGGCCCAUCCUGAGCUUGCAAUAAAUGGACCCAGGCUAUGUUAGUCAGCAUCAAUGCCACUCAGUGCUAAAGUUCCUGCUGGAACUCUUGUGAGAUGCACUUCUUUCCACCGGAAUUGCUGAGAGCACUGGAUCUAAGCCUGGGGCUGCUGAUCACCGUCUUUCUUAGAGACCAUCUGCCUAGAAAAGGAGACAACACAGGGAGAAGCACUGCUGGAGCACCCGGACACAGCCUUGCCUGAAGCCAUCGACUCUGCACUUUUAUGUUACGUGAGCCGAUAUUUCUUUUUCUGUUAAGCUGGUUUGAUUAGGUUUUCUGUCACUUGCAACCCAGAAAGUCCUGCUGAUCCUGAGGCGGAACACACAGAAUGGCUUUUGGAGUUGCUUCGGUGCCACACCUCCGUCAUUUGCCCUGGGAGUUCCGUAGCCAGCUGCCAGUGGACACUCCUGCCCAACAGGCUCGGGCUCCUCCGGGAGCCUUGGGGCAAAUCAUCAAGGCCACCCAACCUCACUCCUUCACACCCGAAACCCUUUCUUCCCCUGAUGCUCCUGUCCCCUCAUUUCUCCUCCCUCUUCCCCUUCUCAGAGACUGUCUUCUUUCCUGCUUUCCUAAGAGGAUGAAUUAAGGACCAAUUAAGGCUGAGUGUGGAAUUUGGAAUCAUCCACCCCAGACAGCAGAGAUCAAGCAUCAGGUCACCUGAGUCAUGGAACAAGUCUCCACUCAUCUAUUUAUCCACCACUGUUGCAACAUCAGCUUCUCUCAAUAACUAGAGCUUUGUAACAAGCCUUAUGUCUGCCACUGUCACUCUAUCUUCUGCACGUGCGCCCAGCCCCCGUCCCUGCACGCGAUGGACACUGAGUUGCUAUGCCUGGAUGUUGUGAACCUGCUCCCUGCUCAUAAGCAGCUGGGCCCAGCAGUACGUCUCAGAUCAAGAGGCUGGCUCUGCCCACCAACUGGCUGUGUGACCUUCGGCAAGUGUCUCAACCUCUCUGAGCUUCAGUUUCUUGUAUGGAAACUGGCAGUCAUAAUAGACCUACAUCCCCCAUAGGACUGAAAUGAGGAUCGCAUGAGUUAAUGCAUGAACAGUGCCAGGCACAUGGUAAGCACCUUAGACAUUAACAAUUUGUGUUACUACUAAUCCACUUAAAUAAAAUGUA